UUUCCGUAGGUGAACCUGCGGAAGGAUCAUUAAAGUGUUGGGGACGUACGGCUCUUCAUUCGGAUGCUGUGCGCCUUAGGGCUGCACGCAUAGGGAGCAUAUCUCCACCCCGGUGCACACACACGGUGGAGAGCUGGGUAACGGCUCGCCGCAGAUCUUUACAGACGUCUAAAGUUGUUGUAUGUUUAUUUGAGAUAAAAACAAAACUUUCAGCAACGGAUCUCUUGGCUCUC
rnacentral:misc_RNA from 1 species